UGGAGCAUGUGGUUUAAUUCGAAGCAACGCGCAGAACCUUACCAGCGUUUGACAUGUCCGGUUUGGUUUCCAGAGAUGGAUUCCUUCAGUUCGGCUGGCCGGAACACAGGUGCUGCAUGGCUGUCGUCAGCUCGUGUCGUGAGAUGUUGGGUUAAGUCCCGCAACGAGCGCAACCCUCAUCCCUAGUUGCCAUCAUUCAGUUGGGCACUCCAGGGAAACUGCCGGUGAUAAGCCGGAGGAAGGUGGGGAUGACGUCAAGUCCUCAUGGCCCUUACGCGCUGGGCUACACACGUGCUACAAUGGCGGUGACAGUGGGCAGCAAACUCGCGAGAGUGAGCUAAUCUCCAAAAGCCGUCUCAGUUCGGAUUGUUCUCUGCAACUCGAGAGCAUGAAGGCGGAAUCGCUAGUAAUCGCGGAUCGGCAUGCCG
rnacentral:rRNA from 1 species